rnacentral:rRNA from 1 species
CGAACGGGUGAGUAACGCGUGAGUAACCUGCCUUACACAAGGGGAUAGCCUUUGGAAACGACGAAUAAUACCCUAUGAAACUAUCACUUCGCAUGAAGCGAUAGUCAAAGUGUUAGCGGUGUAAGAUGGACUUGCGUCUGAUUAGCUAGUUGGUGAGAAAAAAGCCCACCAAGGCAACGAUCAGUAGCCGGCUUGAGAGAGUGUACGGCCACAUUGGGACUGAGACACGGCCCAG